rnacentral:rRNA from 1 species
GACGAACGCUGGCGGCGUGCUUAACACAUGCCAGUCGAACGGAAAGGCCCUGCUUUUGUGGGGUGCUCGAGUGGCGAACGGGUGAGUAACACGUGAGUAACCUGCCCUUGACUUUGGGAUAACUUCAGGAAACUGGGGCUAAUACCGGAUAGGAGCUCCUGCUGCAUGGUGGGGGUUGGAAAGUUUCGGCGGUUGGGGAUGGACUCGCGGCUUAUCAGCUUGUUGGUGGGGUAGUGGCUUACCAAGGCUUUGACGGGUAGCCGGCCUGAGAGGGUGACCGGCCACAUUGGGACUGAGAUACGGCCCAGACUCCUACGGGAGGCAGCAGUGGGGAAUAUUGCACAAUGCGCGGAAGCCUGAUGCAGCAACGCCGCGUGCGGGAUGACGGCCUUCGGGUUGUAAACCGCUUUCGCCUGUGACGAAGCGUGAGUGACGGUAAUGGGUAAAGAAGCACCGGCUAACUACGUG